CCCGGCGACCGGCGCACGGGUGAGUAACACGUAUGCAACCUGGCCGUGACAGAUGGAUAACCGGGAGAAAUCCCGCCUAAUACAACAUAAUGCCGGGAGGGGACAUCCCCUGCCGGCCAAAGGGGCGACCCCGGUCACGGAUGGGCAUGCGGCGCAUUAGGUAGUUGGUGGGGCAACGGCCCACCAAGCCGACGAUGCGUAGGGGUUCUGAGAGGAAGGUCCCCCACAUUGGAACUGAGACACGGUCCAAACUCCUACGGGAGGCAGCAG
rnacentral:rRNA from 1 species